UUCAGCAUUUAAAAUACCUAGUGCUGCAACAUAAUGAUAUUCAGACUCUCAACUACUCUCCUAGAGUGCAAGAAAGACCCAAGUCUUCGAAUUCGAAGAGUAACAAAAGGAGAAACUGUAAGAGAAAUCAAUCUUCUUCUGGGAAAAAUCGAGAUCCAGGGGAGAUACCGUAACAGUUGCUAAGGAUUUAUUUGAGGUUAAUGACACUUUCAAACCAAAUUUUGGAAACGGAGAGGAGGCGGCCCAAAGCAUGCCCCCACCAUCCUUAUGAGGUGCUUGGCAUGGAACUGCUGAGGGUUGGCAAGACCCCAGGUAGAAACGGCGGUCCGAGCCUUGUUGACGAGGUUCGACCCUCAAGUUUUAUUUCUCAUGGAAACCAAAGUAAAGUUUGAUGUGAAGAAGAUGAAAGCUAGAAGAUUAGGCUUUAUGAAUUAUGUUGUUGUUCCGGCUACAUGAUUAGAUGGUUGAUAGAGAUGUCAUCCAUGUCCUUCUUCAAAAGGAUCAAGGGUGUGGGAGUGGGCCCUCUUUUGUUCAUAUGGUUCCCCUUAUAUGAAUGAAAAGGCUAACUUCUAGGAUAGAUUACAGAAUCAUAUAUUAAAUUGUGGUUUGCCUUGAGUCAUAAUUGGUCAUAUGAAUGAGACUCUUCAUGAUAAUGAGAGAAUUUUUGCUAUGAUGACUCAGAGAAAGAAAAGUGAGUUCCUUAAAAAAUUUCUUGAAUUGACAGGUGGAGUUGAGAUUAAAAACUCUAGAGGAAAUUACACCUGGUGCAACAAUAGAGCAAUGUGCUCAAUAGAUUGGUGUCUCUCUUUUCCUAAAGCUGGCGUUCACACUCUCCCCACCACUUUUUUUUUACCACUCUCCCAUUAUGCUUGAUACCUCCUUUGAUGUUGAAAAAGGGGGUUCUCCUUUUCGCUUCUUUAAUGUUUGGGAAGAGUACUCGGAGUAUUCCUUAGUUAUUAUUGAAGCUUGGAAGCAGUAAUUUGAGGGCCACAAGAGCUUCAUUCUGCUCCAGAAAUUAAAGGAAGCUAUGAAAGCUUUGAAAGUGUUGAGCAGGAACAUUUUUGAUGUUGAUGGUUCCAAACUAAAGCAAUUGGAGGACAGAUUAUUAGCUCUUCAAAAUGGGAAUAUCUCUCAAUAUUCUAUUAGUGAAAAAGAUAACAUCCGAAAUGAGAUUGCCAAAGUUUAUUCUCAUAAUGAGAAGGUGUGGAGACAAAAAUCUAGAGAGAUGUGGCUAAAACAUGGGAAUCGUAACUCGAAGUUCUUCCAUGCAUCCACUGUUGUUUGUAGAAAGGGAAAUCUCAUAUGGAAUGUUAAAGACAUGAAUCGCAGAUGGUUGUCGUCUAAAAGGGAGAUAGGAAGGAAGUUGUUAGGAGCAUGAACGCAGAUAGUGCCCCGGGUCUUGAUGGGAUGACUGGAGCUUUCUACAAACAGAAUUGGAGAGUGUUGGGCCUUUGAUUAUUGAUUUUGUUCAGGAAGCCUUUCAGUCGAGAAGAUUUGUUAAAAGUUUGAAUCAUUCAUUUAUAUGCCUUAUUCCAAAGAUUUUUUUAUGCUUGCUCUUUCGACCAUUUCAGGCCAAUUAGCCUAAGUAUUUAUUCUUACAAGACUGGCAAAAAUCUUGUCCAACUGAUUAAGAUUGAUUAUGGAUAGAAUUGUUGGUCCUUAUCAAGCCGCUUUCAUUCCUGGUAGAUGGAUUGUGGAAUGCUCUAUUUUGGGCCAGGAAGUCAUGCAUUUGAUCAAAAGAAAGAUAGACAAUGGUGGUUUAAUGGCGAUAAAGACUGACAUGAGCAAAGCAUAUGAUCUGAUUGAAUGGGAGUUUCUAAGAAGAGUCUUAAUUGAAAAUGGGUUUCAUGACCGAGCAGUCAACCUUAUUAUGUUUUGUGUCUCCUUGGUUACUUACUCUGUUUUACUAAAUGGUUCCCCUAUCAAAGCAAUUACUCCCAGCAAAGGUCUGAGGUAAGGAGACCCUAUGUCACCUUUUAUUUUCCUCCUAUGUGGUAAGGUUCUUUCUAAACUUUUGCUGCAAGCGGAGCGAAGAGAUUUGAUUCAUGGGGUUAAAAAUUUUGCAAAUAAUGCGGUGGUGUCUCAAUUGAUGUUUGCAGAUGACAAUUUUUUUCUUUUAUAGAGCAAAUUCCAAGGAUUUAGAAACUUUACAAGCAAUCUUUUUGAAGUAUGAAACUUGGUCUGGGCAGAAGAUUAAUUUAAGUAAAUCUUCUAUGUUUUUAUCUCCAAACAUGAAUAGAAGAAUUCAGGAAAGGCCUUUGGAGAAGAUGAGGAUGAAAGAACUCAAAAAGGAGGAGGACCAUUAUUUGGGAAGCCCAAUCUUUCUAUCGAGACAAAGAUGUGCAGACUUUGAUUUUUUAAAGGAAAAGUUGAGAAUCUCAUUGGAAGGAUGGCGUAAUAGGUUCUUAUCAAGGGCUGGAAGAACUACGCUUAUCAGAUCAGUUGCUAUAGAAAUUCCUAAUUAAACCAUGGUUGCCUAUGAAAUUCCCAAAAUAAACUUGUCGUCAGAUGGAUGCUAUGAUGCGAAAGUUUUGGUGGGUUGGAGGCAUUGACAAGGAGAGGUUUUUGUUGCUCAAAUCCUGAGAUUACUUGUGCCAACCUAAGUCAAAUGGUGGUCUGGGGUUUAGAAGAUUUGAGGAUGCAAAUAGAGCUUUAAAAGCUAAAUUAUCUUGGUUUGUGGCUUCUAAAAUCAAUAGACCAUGAGUGCAGAUGUUGUUGCUUAAAUAUUGCAUAAAUAAAUCCUUUUGGGAAACUUAGGCUACUAGUUUUAGCUCUUCUAUUUGGAGAUCUAUAAUGCAUACUAGAGGCUUGAUGCUUAAGGGGUGCCUUUUCAGGUUGGAUUAGGAAACUCAAUUUCUAUUUGGUAUCAUCCAUGGAUGCCUCAGUUGGAGGAUUAUUCUUUGCAAUUUCAUAGGAAUCCAGUAGCGCUAUCAUAAGAAGCUUACAAAUACAAGAUGGUGAGUGAGUUGAUGCUUCCAGGUACUCGGAUUUGGAAUCAGUCACUACUCUACCAAUGUUUUUAGCCUCAAACUGCUUUGAUGAUAGCUAGCAUUAAAUUUCUUCAUUGCCAUUGGAGGAUAAGUGUAUUUGGAUUGCAACAAAAAAUGGCAAGUUCAAUAUAAAGAGUGCAUACUAUUUGGAUCAAGAGGUGAGAUUCAAUGAGAAAGUGGAGAUGUUGAAUAGGCUAUGGUCAUGUAAAUCUAUUGAGAGACAUACAUUAUAGAUGUGGAACAUAGCAAUUGAUGCUCUGCCAACUGUUGAAAAGCUAAGUUUUUUGCAUUCUAGCUCAAUAUAAGUUAGCUGCAUUUUAUGCAAUAAUGCUGAAGAACUAAUUAUUCAUCUCUUCAAAAAUUGUCCUGCAACUAAAGCUAUUUGGUUAGCUUCUCCUUGGGGCAUUAGAAGUGAUGCAAUAGCUGUGGAUUCAUGUCUAAAAUUAAUUGAAUGGUUAACUGAGCAAGAUUCAAGAGCUAAUUUCACAAGAA